UCCGAUAUGGUGUAACGGCUAACAUUGCCGCCUUUCAUCACGACAUUGUCACAGUGUAUGAUCGCGGCAGCUCGGGGUUCGAUUCCCCGUAUCGGAA